AUUGAACGCUGGCGGCAUGCUUUACACAUGCAAGUCGAACGGCAGCACGGGGGCAACCCUGGUGGCGAGUGGCGAACGGGUGAGUAAUGCAUCGGAACGUGCCCAGUCGUGGGGGAUAACUAUCCGAAAGGAUAGCUAAUACCGCAUACGCCCUGCGGGUGAAAGCGGGGGACCGUAAGGCCUCGCGCGAUUGGAGCGGCCGAUGUCUGAUUAGCUAGUUGGUGAGGUAAGAGCUCACCAAGGCGACGAUCAGUAGCUGGUCUGAGAGGACGACCAGCCACACGGGGACUGAGACACGGCCCAGACUCCUACGGGAGGCAGCAGUGGGGAAUUUUGGACAAUGGGCGCAAGCCUGAUCCAGCCAUGCCGCGUGCGGGAAGAAGGCCUUCGGGUUGUAAACCGCUUUUGUCAGGAACGAAACGGUGUUGGCUAAUAACCAGCGCUAAUGACGGUACCUGAAGAAUAAGCACCGGCUAACUACGUGCCAGCAGCCGCAGUAAGAC
rnacentral:rRNA from 1 species